rnacentral:rRNA from 1 species
UGGGGAAUUUUGCGCAAUGGGCGAAAGCCUGACGCAGCAAAGCCGCGUGAGUGAAGAAGGCCUUCGGGUCGUAAAGCUCUGUCAGAGGGGAAGAAACUCCUGAUGGCUAAU